CAUCAUGUGCACCAACACAAUUCACACCAACACCAUUCACACCAACACUAUUCACACCAAAACCAUUCGCCCCCACACCAUUCACACCAACACCAUUCACACCAACACCAUUAACAGCAACACCAUUAACACCAACACCAUUCACACCAACACUAUUCACACCAACACCAUUCACACCAAAACCUGUGGGGUGGCCGUGGGGUUGGGCUAUGGGGGGGUCAGGGGGCCAUGGGGAUUGAAAGAGUACAUGACCAGUAAAGCACAUUGGCCAAUCACAUUCAUUUCUGCCUUCAGGGCUUCCAAGACAUGUUUGAGUAAGUAAAAUAGCCAACUCCUGAUUGCACUUCAAGAUGUUAAACAUCCUACAAGCAGGGGGUGUAACCAGUCGGCAACACAUGAGUAAAUGUCAUUUGGCUUUUUAUAGCAGGGCAUUCAGAGAUUGAGACAGCAGGUCUGCUAGAGAGGGUGGGGGGGAGAGGAACAGAGAGAGAGAGAUGGAGAAUGAAAGAGAGAGAGGGAGAAUGAGAGAGAGAAGUGCUGUAGCCACAGGCAGAACAGCAGAAAUUGGAACGGGAGCAUAAUUAGGUGAACAGAGACAGCUAGAAGUCCUCAGGCCAGGUAGACCUCAGGCCAGGUAGUCCUCAGGCCAGGUAGUCCUCAGGGCAGGUAGACCUCAGGCCAUGUAGACCUCAGGGCAGGUAGUCCUCAGGCCAGGUAGUCCUCAGGGCAGGUAGACCUCAGGCCAUGUAGACCUCAGGGCAGGUAGUCCUCAGGCCAGGUAGUCCUCAGGGCAGGUAGACCUCAGGCCAGGUAGACCUCAGGGCAGGUAGUCCUCAGGCCAUGUAGACCUCAGGGCAGGUAGUCCUCAGGCCAGGUAGACCUCAGGCCAUGUAGACCUUAGGCCAGGUAGACCUCAGGCCAUGUAGACCUUACGCCAGGUAGACCUCAGGCGUGUUCCAAGGGCCCAUGUCCUCCAGGACAGAGGAGAAGUGGAGGAGAGGAGGACACAAGAAGGGGGAGGAGAUACAGGGAAAAGGGGCUUUUGCUUGCUAUCUGAACAAACACAAUGUUGAAUAUUUCCUUUAAUACAAAUGAAGACGUCUGUUCGAUAUGUUGAAAGGUAGACUGGUAUUUGGCCUAUGAGUUAGUUUGGUAUGAAUAGUUGUACCUCACUUUUGCAGGAGUUAGUCACUGCUAAGUUUUUUUUUCUCAUAUUUGCACAUUAUUAUGUAACUGUCAUAAUGUAUGGUACUGAGGCAGUCGAGAGAGAGAGCUUGCCCGUUACGACGUCAUAUUAGAUAAUAAUUAGAUAAUUAUUCUGUGUUUACUCUGAAUGGUUGCCUAGUUACUGUACCUCGUUUGUCCGCGGCUCAAACAUCUAACUGUUCAUUUUGAAAUAGAAAACCAAAGCCAACUGAAUCAGAACCAAAUCAAUAAAAAGUGAAACAAACUCGGCUCACCACGGUUCAAUACCCUGCCAUGCUGUGGUAGGACUACCAAGAUCUGCCCCACUGAAGAAAAAGCUAAAGUGAAUGACUGAACCCACUCACACUGGGCAUGAUGAAGCAGGCCUGGCAUUAGGUGGUGUUGCCUCUUAGGGACAGCAUGGUUGUCAUAGGGUGGCAGGGAGAGUGUGCCGCAAUCCAGUUGUGUAUGUGUAGGUGUGUACUGGUGACCGUUGUGUAUGUGUAGGUGUGUACUGGUGACCGUUGUGUAUGUGUAGGUGUGUACUGGUGACCGUUGUGUAUGUGUAGGUGUGUACUGGUGACCGUUGUGUAUGUGUAGGUGUGUACUGGUGACCAUUGUGUAUGUGUAGGUGUGUACUGGUGACCAUUGUGUAUGUGUAGGUGUGUACUGGUGACCAUUGUGUAUGUGUAGGUGUGUACUGGUGACCAUUGUGUAUGUGUAGGUGUGUACUGGUGACCAUUGUGUAUGUGUAGGUGAUCAGAGAGAUAGGGCUGGCACCCUACCACCAGCAUCCACUCCUCACCCAGCUCAAACUCAAAAUCCCAGCAUGCACAGAGGGAGAGAGAGGUGAUGGUGAAUUACACAAUAGUGUGUAACUUCAAAACUCUGCACUCAAGAACUAAGACAGAACAAUACAACAGAGAGCAACUGACUCUUAUUGAGAAGUCUCUAAACACAAAGACAUUCUGGUGAAUCCGGAAAUACAACACACUCAAAGGAGGAAUGAGCGAUACAGAAGAAUGACGAGGGGACAACCCAUUUAAAUACUCUUCAAAUUGAAGCAAAGGCAGAACAAUGCUGAAUGCUGAAGUUGAAUGGAUUGAACAAUUCCACAAAGAGCAAUCAAAAUCCAUUGGACUUCUGAAUUACUGUGCAGGAGAUUCAUGAACAAUACCAGGUUCGCAAAUAAAAAAUUUAAAACAAAAGAUAUACGCAAAUGAGAUGCUCAUAUUCACCAUGCAAAAUGUCAAUUUGUUAUUUUACAAGACUCACUGGACUCAUAUGCCAAUUUUUAAGAAUUGAGACAAAUUAGAAAAACCAUUACUUGAAGCAUUUGUGUGAACAGAAGCUGAAGAUCUCUGUAGAUCUCUGUAGCAUUAUAAACUCAAGAGUUCUCAAUAAUCAGAAUGUGUUGAAGUGAAACCAAACAGGAUUUUAACCAAAACACAAAUGAUCAUAUUUCUACUGUAUGGACCACCAUAAUAAGCCAAAAAUAACUGCUUGCUUUACUAACUUCCAAAAAGUGUUUGAUUCUACUUGGCACUCUGGAUGAUGCUACAAAGUCAAUAAAAGUGGUGUAAAACAUUACAUAAUUAAAUCAAUGAAUAAUAGCAACAUGUGCUGCAUUUCAAUUGGCAAGACGACUCCUUUCGCCCAGGGUUACAUUAAUUCAGUCUUGUGCUAUUCAAUAUUAAUUCAAAUGAAUUGGCCAACAUAUUCGGAAAAUCCUCUGGUGUCAGUCUGUAAUAUUCAGAGGUUAAAUGCUCUACGCAGAUGACCUGCAGUGCUUCACAGCACAUGGCCUAAAGCAGAGACUGGACCAGUUAGACCAGUACUACUAGUCAUGGACCUGUGUGACCAGUACUACUUGACCUGGACCAGUUAGACCAGUACUACUUGGCCUGGACCAGUUAGACCAGUACUACUUGACCUGGACCAGUUAGACCAGUACUACUAGUCAUGGACCAGUGUGACCAGUACUACUUGACCUGGACCAGUUAGACCAGUACUAUUAGACCUGGACCAGUUAGACCAGUACUACUUGGCCUGGACCAGUUAGACCAGUACUACUAGUCAUGGACCAUUGUGACCAGUACUACUUGACCUGGACCAGUUAGACCAGUACUACUAGACCUGGACCAGUUAGACCAGUACUACGUGGCCUGGACCAGUUAGACCAGUACUACUAGACCUGGACCAAUUAGACCAGUACUACUUGAUCUGGACCAGUUAGACCAGUACUACUAGACUUGGACCAGUUAGACCAGUACUACUAGCUGAAAAAGUAAAUGCUGGUACUGAUAGAAAGGUGUCAGAACACACAGUGCAUCGCAGUUUGUUGCGUAUGGGGCUGCAUAGCCACAGACCAGUCAGAGUGCCCUUGCUGACCCCUGUCCACUGCCGAAAGCGCCUACAAUGGGCACGUGAGCAUCAGAACUGGACCACGGAGCAACGGAAGAAGGUGGCCUGGUCUGAUGAAUCACGUUUCCUUUUACAUCACAUGGAUGGCCGGGUUUGUGUGCAUCACUUACCUGGAGAACACAUGGUACCAGGAUGCACUAUGGGAAGAAUGCAAACUGGCAGAGGCAGUGUUGACUUGGCAUCCAAAUUCCCCAGAUCUCAAUCCAAUCGACAAACAGGUCCGAUCCAUGGAGGCCCUACCUCGCAACUUACAGGAGUUAAAGGAUCUGCUGCUAACGUCUUGGUGCCAGAUCCCACAGCACACCUUCAGAAGUUUAGUGGAGUCCAUGCCUCGACCGGUCAGGGCUG
ensembl:lncRNA